AAGUGGACCAAAUCAGGAACGCCGUGUGAUUCCUAAGACGUCUUCUUUUUUGUCCACUGCC
rnacentral:pre_miRNA from 1 species